rnacentral:rRNA from 1 species
GACGAACGCUUGCGGCGUGCUUAACACAUGCAAGUCGAACGGAAAGGCCCUGCUUUUGUGGGGUGCUCGAGUGGCGAACGGGUGAGUAACACGUGAGUAACCUGCCCUUGACUUUGGGAUAACUUCAGGAAACUGGGGCUAAUACCGGAUAGGAGCUCCUGCUGCAUGGUGGGGGUUGGAAAGUUUCGGCGGUUGGGGAUGGACUCGCGGCUUAUCAGCUUGUUGGUGGGGUAGUGGCUUACCAAGGCUUUGACGGGUAGCCGGCCUGAGAGGGUGACCGGCCACAUUGGGACUGAGAUACGGCCCAGACUCCUACGGGAGGCAGCAGUGGGGAAUAUUGCACAAUGGGCGGAAGCCUGAUGCAGCAACGCCGCGUGCGGGAUGACGGCCUUCGGGUUGUAAACCGCUUUCGCCUGUGACGAAGCGUGAGUGACGGUAAUGGGUAAAGAAGCACCGGCUAACUACGUGCCAGCAGCCGCGGUGAUACGUAGGGUGCGAGCGUUGUCCGGAUUUAUUGGGCGUAAAGGGCUCGUAGGUGGUUGAUCGCGUCGGAAGUGUAAUCUUGGGGCUUAACCCUGAGCGUGCUUUCGAUACGGGUUGACUUGAGGAAGGUAGGGGAGAAUGGAAUUCCUGGUGGAGCGGUGGAAUGCGCAGAUAUCAGGAGGAACGCCAGUGGCGAAGGCGGUUCUCUGGGCCUUUCCUGACGCUGAGGAGCGAAAGCGUGGGGAGCGAACAGGCUUAGAUACCCUGGUAGUCCACGCUGUAAACGGUGGGUACUAGGUGUGGGGUCCAUUCCACGGGUUCCGUGCCGUAGCUAACGCUUUAAGUACCCCGCCUGGGGAGUACGGCCGCAAGGCUAAAACUCAAAGGAAUUGACGGGGCCUCGCACAAGCGGCGGAGCAUGCGGAUUAAUUCGAUGCAACGCGUAGAACCUUACCUGGGUUUGACAUGGAUCGGGAGUGCUCAGAGAUGGGUGUGCCUCUUUUGGGGUCGGUUCACAGGUGGUGCAUGGCUGUCGUCAGCUCGUGUCGUGAGAUGUUGGGUUAAGUCCCGCAACGAGCGCAACCCUUGUUCACUGUUGCCAGCACGUUAUGGUGGGGACUCAGUGGAGACCGCCGGGGUCAACUCGGAGGAAGGUGGGGAUGACGUCAAGUCAUCAUGCCCCUUAUGUCCAGGGCUUCACGCAUGCUACAAUGGCUGGUACAGAGAGUGGCGAGCCUGUGAGGGUGAGCGAAUCUCGGAAAGCCGGUCUCAGUGCGGAUUGGGGUCUGCAACUCGACCUCAUGAAGUCGGAGUCGCUAGUAAUCGCAGAUCAGCAACGCUGCGGUGAAUACGUUCCCGGGGCU